AUUGAACGCUGGCGGCAGGCUUAACACAUGCAAGUCGAGCGGAGAUGAGGUGCUUGCACCUUAUCUUAGCGGCGGACGGGUGAGUAAUGCUUAGGAAUCUGCCUAUUAGUGGGGGACAACAUUCCGAAAGGAAUGCUAAUACCGCAUACGUCCUACGGGAGAAAGCAGGGGAUCUCCGGACCUUGCGCUAAUAGAUGAGCCUAAGUCGGAUUAGCUAGUUGGUGGGGUAAAGGCCUACCAAGGCGACGAGCUGUAGCGGGUCUGAGAGGCUGCUCCGCCACACUGGAGCUAAGACACGGCCCAGACUGGUACGGGAGGCAGCAGUGGGGAAGAUUGGACAAUGGGGGGAACCCUGAUCCAGCCAUGCCGCGUGUGUGAAGAAGGCCUUAUGGUUAUAAAGCACUUUAAGCGAGGAGGAGGCUACUGAGACUAAUACUCUUGGAUAGUGGACGUUACUCGCAGAAUAAGCACCGGCUAACGCUGUGCCAGCCGCCGCCGUAAUAC
rnacentral:rRNA from 1 species